UCCCUGGUGGCUCAGCUGGUAAAGAAUCCGCCUGCAAUGCGGGAGGCCCAGGUUUGAUCCCUGGGUUGGGAA
rnacentral:tRNA from 1 species